rnacentral:rRNA from 1 species
UACGAACCGAGCGAACGUUGUUCGGAAUCACUGGGCUUAAAGGGCGCGUAGGCGGGUGCUCAAGUCCGGGGUGAAAUCCCACAGCUCAACUGUGGAACUGCCUCGGAUACUGGGUGCCUCGAGGGUGGUAGGGGUAUGCGGAACUAUCGGUGGAGCGGUGAAAUGCGUUGAUAUCGAUAGGAACUCCGGUGGCGAAGGCGGCAUACUGGACCACAUCUGACGCUGAGGCGCGAAAGCCAGGGGAGCGAACGGG